CCUACGGGAGGCAGCAGUGGGGAAUAUUGCACAAUGGGGGAAACCCUGAUGCAGCGACGCCGCGUGAGUGAAGAAGUAAUUCGUUAUGUAAAGCUCUAUCAGCAGGGAAGAAAAUGACGGUACCUGAGCAAGAAGCCCCGGCUAACUACGUGCCAGCAGCCGCGGUAAUACGUAGGGGGCAAGCGUUAUCCGGAUUUACUGGGUGUAAAGGGAGCGUAGACGGCAGUGCAAGUCUGGAGUGAAAGGCGGGGGCUCAACCCCCGGACUGCUCUGGAAACUGUAUGGCUGGAGUGCAGGAGAGGUAAGUGGAAUUCCUAGUGUAGCGGUGAAAUGCGUAGAUAUUAGGAGGAACACCAGUGGCGAAGGCGGCUUACUGGACUGUAACUGACGUUGAGGCUCGAAAGCGUGGGGAGCAAACAGGAUUAGAUACCCGAGUAGUC
rnacentral:rRNA from 1 species